rnacentral:rRNA from 1 species
AUGGGGAACAGCUGCGUCGGCGCCGGCCCCAACGGCGCCGGCCGCAGCGGCUUCCUCGCCUCCGUCGCCAUCUGGCGCGCGAAGCCCGCCGAGCAGGCGCCGGCCACCGACACCCCCCCGGCGUCCACCUCCGAGCAGAAGGCGCCCGAGCCCGUCACCAUCCCCCCCGGCGAGCACUCCUCCUCGCAUGGCGGCGCGCGCCCCUCCGACCCGCCGCCCCCCAAGCGCGCCGAGACGCAGCGGCAGAUGUCGAUGGCCCCCACGGCGAAGAAGCCCGUGCCCAAGGUCAAGCGCGUCCAGAGCGCCGGCCUCCAGGCCGACUCCGUCCUCAAGCGCGACGUCAACACCGCCAAACUCAAGGACCUCUACACCAUCGGCAAGAAGCUGGGGCAGGGCCAGUUCGGCACCACCUACCUCUGCGUCGAGAAGGCCACGGGGAAGGAGUACGCCUGCAAGUCCAUCGCCAAGCGGAAGCUGCUCACCGAUGAGGACGUGGAGGACGUGCGCCGCGAGAUCCAGAUCAUGCACCACCUGGCCGGGCACAGCAGCGUCGUCUCCAUCGUCGGCGCCUACGAGGACGCCGUCGCCGUGCAGCUUGUCAUGGAGCUCUGCGCCGGCGGCGAGCUGUUCGACAGGAUCAUCCAGAGGGGGCACUACUCCGAGAAGGCCGCGGCGCAGCUCACCAGGGUGAUCGUCGGCGUCAUCGAGGCGUGCCACUCGCUCGGCGUGAUGCACAGGGAUCUCAAGCCGGAGAAUUUCUUGUUCAUCAAUACUCAGGAGGACUCGCCGCUCAAGGCCAUUGAUUUCGGGCUCUCCAUCUUCUUCACGCCAGGUCAGAUGUUUACAGAUGUAGUUGGAAGUCCAUACUAUGUUGCACCUGAGGUUCUUCUAAAGAACUAUGGGCGUGAAGUUGACGUCUGGAGUGCUGGUGUAAUAAUCUAUAUCUUGUUGAGUGGGGUUCCUCCAUUCUGGGAUGAAAGUGAACAAGGGAUAUUUGAACAAGUUUUGAAAGGUGAGCUGGACUUUACAACUGAUCCCUGGCCUAGUAUCUCAGAGAGUGCGAAGGAUUUGGUCAGGAAAAUGCUUAAUCGUGAUCCAAGGAAGAGAUUGACUGCCCACGAAGCGCUAUGUCACCCUUGGGUUUGUGUUGAUGGAGUUGCUCCUGAUAAACCUCUUGAUUCUGCUGUCCUAAGUCGGUUAAAACAAUUUUCUGCAAUGAACAAACUAAAGAAAAUGGCCCUUAGGGUUAUUGCCGAGAGUUUGUCUGAAGAAGAGAUUGCAGGAUUGAAAGAAAUGUUUAAAAUGCUAGACACUGAUAACAGCGGUCAUAUCACAUUGGAGGAGCUAAAAACUGGCUUGCGGCGAGUUGGUGCUACUCUGAUGGACUCAGAAAUUGAUGCUUUAAUGGAAGCAGCCGAUAUUGACAAUAGUGGUACCAUUGAUUAUGGGGAGUUCAUUGCUGCAACUAUGCAUAUGAACAAAGUUGAGAAGGACGAUAAGCUCUUUGCAGCCUUUCAAUACUUUGAUAAAGACGGCAGUGGUUACAUUACUCAAGAUGAGCUCCAAAAGGCAUGCGAGGAGUUUGGUAUUGGAGACACCCGUAUUGAAGAUAUUAUCGGAGAUGUCGAUAAGGACAAUGUAAGUAGAUUCAUUGUUCAGGUUUUAAAUUGCCAACAACAGUUUUGUCUCAUUGUCCACCACCUUUUGCAGGAUGGAAAGAUCGACUACAAUGAGUUUGUCGAAAUGAUGCAGAAAGGAAAUAAUCCACUGGGUAGAAAGGGACAGCAAAGCAAUGUGAACUUUGGUCUUGGAGAUGCACUGAAGCUUCGGUAA